GUUAAUUUUCUAGAAAGUGAACCUUUUGCAAAUUGCUACUAAGACCAAGUAGGAAAGAUGAAUUUCACGGAAUGUAUAUGUUUCAUAUUGAGUAUAAUCAGAAUAACUACACAUGUAAAUAUUUUGUGAUCUAUCACAUACUACUUCAUCGAAACGAUUGUUUUGACAAAAGAGGACGAAUAUAAUAUCGUUUCAAUAACAAGGAAUAAUCAAUAGAUUUUUGAAAUGGCUGCUAGGUACAUUGCAGUAAUCGUCUUCAGCUUUGGCCUAAUGCUCGAUAUUCUUCAUUUGAUUUUAACAUAUAACACCUCCUGUACUUAUAUGGAUUUGGUAUGGGACGUACUUUUUCCUCUUUCUACUGAAUCAAGAGUUACAAGAAAGAAAAGUUUGUUAGUUUUAGCUCGUGACUGUCUGGGGUUUUAUCGUAGAAGGGAAAAAAAUUAUAUUUCCUUCUUAGGGACCUUAAUAACAUGGUUUUGUUUUUUCGAACUGCGAAAUUAUAUCGAUAUCUUCUCAUAUUUGUAAAUUUAGAAGAAAUUUAAUAACCUCACAAAUACCCACUAUUGUUUGUGUUUGUCUAGGUAAUGUUAACUUAUUUCAUAUAAUAUGAUCUCUUCAAUGAUAUUAUAUAUAAAUAAUGUGGAAUAUUUUUAUUAUUUGAUUAUAACAUUCCAUUACAGACGGGUGAGAAGGACACAAAACAGGCAUUGCCUAGGUGAUUCUCACCUGUCCAUGGACAUUUUAAUCCAAUUUAUUAUUAUUAUUAUAAUAAAUGAAAAAAUUUGUAACUUUUA